rnacentral:rRNA from 1 species
AGAGUUUGAUCAUGGCUCAGGACGAACGCUGGCGGCGUGCUUAACACAUGCAAGUCGAACGGACCUGCAGGGCUUGCUCUGCAGGUUAGUGGCGAACGGGUGAGUAACACGUGAGCAAUCUGCCCCUGACUCUGGGAUAACUGCGGGAAACUGUAGCUAAUACUGGAUAUGACGCGCGAAGGCAUCUUCUGCGCGUGGAAAGAAUUUCGGUCAGGGAUGAGCUCGCGGCCUAUCAGCUUGUUGGUGAGGUAAUGGCUCACCAAGGCGACGACGGGUAGCCGGCCUGAGAGGGUGACCGGCCACACUGGGACUGAGACACGGCCCAGACUCCUACGGGAGGCAGCAGUGGGGAAUAUUGCACAAUGGGCGAAAGCCUGAUGCAGCAACGCCGCGUGAGGGACGACGGCCUUCGGGUUGUAAACCUCUUUUGUCAGGGAAGAGGCGAAAGUGACGGUACCUGAAGAAAAAGCACCGGCUAACUACGUGCCAGCAGCCGCGGUAAUACGUAGGGUGCAAGCGUUGUCCGGAAUUAUUGGGCGUAAAGAGCUCGUAGGCGGUCUGUCGCGUCUGCUGUGAAAACCCGAGGCUCAACCUCGGGCCUGCAGUGGGUACGGGCAGACUAGAGUGCGGUAGGGGGAGAUUGGAAUUCCUGGUGUAGCGGUGGAAUGCGCAGAUAUCAGGAGGAACACCGAUGGCGAAGGCAGAUCUCUGGGCCGUAACUGACGCUGAGGAGCGAAAGCGUGGGGAGCGAACAGGAUUAGAUACCCUAGUAGUCC